rnacentral:rRNA from 1 species
GAUGAACGCUAGCUACAGGCUUAACACAUGCAAGUCGAGGGGCAGCAUGGUCUUAGCUUGCUAAGACUGAUGGCGACCGGCGCACGGGUGAGUAACACGUAUCCAACCUGCCGUCUACUCUUGGACAGCCUUCUGAAAGGAAGAUUAAUACAAGAUGGCAUCAUGAGUCCGCAUGUUCACAUGAUUAAAGGUAUUCCGGUAGACGAUGGGGAUGCGUUCCAUUAGAUAGUAGGCGGGGUAACGGCCCACCUAGUCUUCGAUGGAUAGGGGUUCUGAGAGGAAGGUCCCCCACAUUGGAACUGAGACACGGUCCAAACUCCUACGGGAGGCAGCAGUGAGGAAUAUUGGUCAAUGGGCGAGAGCCUGAACCAGCCAAGUAGCGUGAAGGAUGACUGCCCUAUGGGUUGUAAACUUCUUUUAUAAAGGAAUAAAGUCGGGUAUGUAUACCCGUUCGCAUGUACUUUAUGAAUAAGGAUCGGCUAACUCCGUGCCAGCAGCCGCGGUAAUACGGAGGAUCCGAGCGUUAUCCGGAUUUAUUGGGUUUAAAGGGAGCGUAGAUGGAUGUUUAAGUCAGUUGUGAAAGUUUGCGGCUCAACCGUAAAAUUGCAGUUGAUACUGGAUAUCUUGAGUGCAGUUGAGGCAGGCGGAAUUCGUGGUGUAGCGGUGAAAUGCUUAGAUAUCACGAAGAACUCCGAUUGCGAAGGCAGCCUGCUAAGCU